UAAGUGAAGAGUUUGAUCCUGGCUCAGAGUGAACGCUGGCGGUAGGCCUAACACAUGCAAGUCGAACGGCAGCACAGGAGAGCUUGCUCUCUGGGUGGCGAGUGGCGGACGGGUGAGGAAUACAUCGGAAUCUACUCUGUCGUGGGGGAUAACGUAGGGAAACUUACGCUAAUACCGCAUACGACCUACGGGUGAAAGCAGGGGACCUUCGGGCCUUGCGCGAUUGAAUGAGCCGAUGUCGGAUUAGCUAG
rnacentral:rRNA from 1 species